UACAGAGGUCCCGAGCGUUGUUCGGAUUCACUGGGCGUAAAGGGUGCGUAGGUGGCGAGGUAAGUCGGAUGUGAAAGCUCGGAGCUCAACUCCGAAAUGGCAUUGGAAACUACCUUGCUCGAGGGUUGGAGGGGGGACUGGAAUACUUGGUGUAGCAGUGAAAUGCGUAGAUAUCAAGUGGAACACCAGUGGCGAAGGCGAGUCCCUGGACACUUCCUGACACUGAGGCACGAAAGCUAGGGGAGCAAACAGG
rnacentral:rRNA from 1 species